AGGGGUGUGAUGAAAUGGUUAUCAUAGAAGUCUCCAAAACUUUUUUUCCAGGUUCGAGUCCUGGCACCCCUG
rnacentral:tRNA from 1 species